rnacentral:misc_RNA from 1 species
GGAAGGAUCAUUACCGAGUUGGGGUUUCCAGCAAUGGGCCCACCUCCCAAACCUCUGCGUACCACCUGAGCAAACUACCUGUGUUGCUUCGGCGGGGCUUCGGCUACCCGCCGGGGCGCCACACACAAAAAUUCUUUUGAGGGACGGCUGUCUGAGUUUUGCUUUUGAAAUUGCGAAAAAACACUUUCAACAACGGAUCUCUUGGUUCCCGCAUCGAUGAAGAACGCAGCGAAAUGCGAUAAGUAAUGUGAAUUGCAGAAUUCAGUGAAUCAUCGAAUCUUUGAACGCACAUUGCGCCCUUUGGCAUUCCGAGGGGCAUGCCUGUUCGAGUGUCAGUUGACAAGCUCAAGCCCUCGUUUUGGCGGGGGCUUGGUGUUGGGCAAUUCGCCUCCCCCCCCCAGCUGGUAGGUUAGGGUGGAUUUGGCGGGCCUGAAAAUCAGCGGCAGCGGGCGGACUGGCUCAAGCACAGUAGGCGUUUUUCUCGUGCUUUGGAGCGCAGUCGGCAGCUAGCCCAACGGCGCGAUAGACAUUCCGAGCGACCUCGAAUCAGGUAGGGAUACCCGCUGAACUUAAGCAUAUCAAUAAGCGGAGGAAAAGAAACCAACAGGGAUUGCCUCAGUAACGGCGAGUGAAGCGGCAAGAGCUCAAAUUUGAAAUCUGGAUGCCCUUGCGGGUUCCCGAAUUGUAAUUUGGAGAGGAUGCUUCGGGAUUGACGCUGGCCUAAGUUCCUUGGAACAGGACGUCACAGAGGGUGAGAAUCCCGUACGUGGCUGGCAGUCUGCUCCCAUGUGAAGGUCCUUCGACGAGUCGAGUUGUUUGGGAAUGCAGCUCAAAAUGGGUGGUAAGUUUCAUCUAAAGCUAAAUAUCGGCGGGAGACCGAUAGCGCACAAGUAGAGUGAUCGAAAGAUGAAAAGCACUUUGGAAAGAGAGUUAAACAGUACGUGAAAUUGUUGAAAGGGAAGCGCUUGCAGCCAGACUUGGCGCCGGCUGAUCAACCAGCGAGCUCUCUCGCUGCGGCACUCAGGCGGGGCCAGGCCAGCAUCAGUCUGGGCGGCUGGAAAAAGGCUCUGGGAAUGUGACUCUCUUCGGGGAGUGUUAUAGCCCAGGGCGCCAUGCGGCCAGCGCGGACUGUGGACAGCGCCCUCCGGGGCUCGGAUGCCUGGCGUAAUGGCUGCAAGCGACCCGUCUUGAAACACGGACCAAGGAGUCUAACAUCUAUGCGAGUGUUUGGGUGUCAAGCCCUUGCGCGCAAUGAAAGUGAACGGAGGUGGGAACCCCCCAAGGGGUGCACCAUCGACCGAUCCUGAUGUCUUCGGAUGGAUUUGAGUAAGAGCAUAGCUGUUGGGACCCGAAAGAUGGUGAACUAUGCCUGAAUAGGGUGAAGCCAGAGGAAACUCUGGUGGAGGCUCGCAGCGGUUCUGACGUGCAAAUCGAUCGUCAAAUUUGGGUAUAGGGGCGAAAGACUAAUCGAACCAUCUAGUAGCUGGUUCCUGC